rnacentral:lncRNA from 8 species
CCCCUCCUCUCCUUCCGUCUGCAGAGCACCAGAGCCCUCACAACACUGUGAGCAGCUACAUGGAAAGGAACUGUCCUCUGGUAGGACACAGUGCUAUUCUCAUUUUCUAUUCUUUUUACAUGAUGUUUUAUAUAUAAUACCAUGCAUAAUGUAAGAUCAAUAUUAUUUAUUUCUCUGAAGUCUAUGUGCCAUCCUUCAGGAGUCAAAGAGGACAGUCGUCUCCUCUCCUCUGGUUCGGGGCUGGUAUAUUCUGGGAUGGUGUGGGUGUUUGCCCCUCAGUGGUCUCCUCACCCUCCACCCUAAGCCUCCUGGGUUAUGGCAACGCUGAGCUACAGGGAAAGUUAUUAAAUUGCACCUCUUAUGUCAUACAGACUCUGGUUCAGGGGUUUGCUUUCAAUUAAAUUAUUUCUAAUAUACAUUUUCAUCUUUAUCAUAGUUAUGAGUUCUGCACCCUUCAUUGUAUUUUGAGGUAAUGGCUGAUGGAAACGAGACUCAUUUUAUGGACCUUUUGUAUUCAAUAAUCUAAAGUACUUCAGAGUACUUUUCUUCUGUAGCUGUGUCCAUAUGCUGUAGUGGGCUCCCUAAUGUAGCUCUAUUGAAUAGUCCUCACUCAGUCUUUGGUCCCUACAGGAUGUCACCUUCCUGAUGCCUGCCUUCUAUGAGUGUUCCUGUGGCUCGGAGAAUGGUGCCAGUCCUCUACCCCAUCAUCCAGGGGGUGGAUUUCUACACACAGGCUCGUCCAACCCCUCUACUAGCAACACGAACCCACCUCUCUACUGGCUGGUGACGUGGCCAUGGCACAGCAGGCAGGACUGGGGAGAAACAGCUCCACUGGAAAGGGCAGGAUCUUUACUGGGACCAGUACAAGAAUGGAGCAGCAGGGCAGCACUCCCUCCACCUGGGCCCUUCUGAUGUUACCUCCACACCCAUGGUCAGGGCUGAUGAUAACGACACUACAGAGCUGAUGGAGGAGGCAGCCCAGGUGGUCCCGUGUCCCAGGGGGCUGAGACACUCUGCCUGUCACCCACUAACCCUCCAACCCGUAGCCCAGGACAGCAGCUCCUCAAAGGGGUGGGACCAGACACUCCAACCAUGGAUGAGCGUAGCACAGCUGGGCCCUGCCGCCCCUUCUCACACCAUGCCAAAGAUCCACAGCAUCAGUGUGACCUGUUGGCCCUGUAGGACUCCAGCUUCGAGGUGA